rnacentral:rRNA from 1 species
CCUCGGGAGGCUGCAGUGGGGAAUAUUGCACAAUGGGCGAAAGCCUGAUGCAGCGACGCCGCGUGAAGGAUGAAGUAUUUCGGUAUGUAAACUUCUAUCAGCAGGGAAGAAAAUGACGGUACCUGACUAAGAAGCCCCGGCUAACUACGUGCCAGCAGCCGCGGUAAUACGUAGGGGGCAAGCGUUAUCCGGAUUUACUGGGUGUAAAGGGAGCGUAGACGGCGAUGCAAGCCAGAUGUGAAAGCCCGGGGCUCAACCCCGGGACUGCAUUUGGAACUGUGUGGCUGGAGUGUCGGAGAGGCAAGUGGAAUUCCUAGUGUAGCGGUGAAAUGCGUAGAUAUUAGGAGGAACACCAGUGGCGAAGGCGGCUUGCUGGACGAUGACUGACGUUGAGGCUCGAAAGCGUGGGGAGCAAACAGGAUAGAUACCCCUGUAGUC